rnacentral:rRNA from 1 species
CCUACGGGAGGCAGCAGUAGGGAAUAUUGGGCAAUGGGCGAGAGCCUGACCCAGCCAUGCCGCGUGCAGGAUGAAGGCCUUCUGGGUUGUAAACUGCUUUUCUCAGGGAAGAAAAAGAGGAUGCGUCCUAAACUGACGGUACCUGAGGAAUAAGCACCGGCUAACUCCGUGCCAGCAGCCGCGGUAAUACGGAGGGUGCAAGCGUUGUCCGGAUUUAUUGGGUUUAAAGGGUGCGUAGGCGGCCCGUUAAGUCCGGGGUGAAAGCCCACAGCUCAACUGUGGAACUGCCCUGGAUACUGGCGGGCUUGAGUCCAGACGAGGUUGGCGGAAUGGAAGGUGUAGCGGUGAAAUGCAUAGAUACCUUCCAGAACCCCGAUUGCGUAGGCAGCUGACUAGGCUGGUACUGACGCUGAGGCACGAAAGCGUGGGGAGCGAACAGGAUUAGAUACCCUGGUAGUCCACGCCGUAAACGAUGGAUACUCGCUGGUGGCGAUAGACAGUCACUGGCUUAGCGAAAGCGGUAAGUAUCCCACCUGGGGAGUACGCUCGCAGAGUGAAACUCAAAGGAAUUGACGG